GUGCUCACUUCAGCAGCACAUAUACUAAAACUGGAACGAUACAGAGAAGAUUAGCAUGGCCCCUGUACAAGGAUGACACAUUCCAUAUUUUUUU
rnacentral:snRNA from 1 species